ACGACAUGAAGUUUGGCCUGACAAAUGUUCAUACCCCCAUGUGGCUGUUAACUGGGAGAUAUAGAUUCCUUUCCCGAUUGAUCAAAGCGCACAGAAAUUAAGUCGUGCAUAUAGUUCAGCUACAUUUAUUCUCCGAUCGCUUUCAUAGCUUUUCCUUUUCUCAUCGAUCGAGCUGAUUGCUGCUUCGCGUACGCGCCUAGAAAUACAGCACGCCCCGUCGACCCGGGGGGUUGCAGAUCGAUCGGAAGCUCAAACGCACGCUAGCUACUGCAGGCACACCAAGCUGACGAACGACAACAUGAGCACCACCGGAAGGGCUCUCCUCGUCGCUCUCGCCGCCGUUCUUCUCGUCACCGGCGACGCACUCCUCGCUCCCGCCGGUGGCCAGGAGCAGUACACCAAGGCGCCGGCGGAAGCGCACAAAGGCUACAGCAUCGUGCCUGGAUUUCAGGCCCCAUGUAAAGGCUGGCUGGACCAUCAUGCCCAUCUUCUUCUUCACUUGUGUCAUUCUCCCUACCAUUUCUCCAUGUUUAUCUGUAGGUGUCGGCAGGUUUGGCCAGCUUGCUCUCUCUAACUUCAUCUGCAAAUUAAAACCCAGCACCUUGAUAGCGAUCCACGCGUUUACUAAAGGAUCGUUGAAAGACACCUCUUUCAUCUGCGCUGCUCUUAAUUCAUGCUGUUGUAUAUUCAUUCUGAAAAAUGUUGUGUUGCUGUGCUGUAGUCAGUAACAGACUAACAGUAACACGCCUCAUGCACAUUCAAUUUUGGAGAGGUCAAGUUGUAACAUAAAGAAUGAAUUCUCAGGAUCAGAUUUCAGAAGACAGUGAAUGAGAGAGAGAGAUUUUGCACCAUGUUUAUGCCUGAUGCUUUGAUUGACAACAAAAGCAAGUCAACUGUAUUAGCAACUUGCAAGCGUGGAGAGUAGUACUAGUAUAUCGAAUGCUGCUGGGUCGACCAUGUUUCCGGUAGCAGUGGCAAUGAUUGGCCCAAGUAUUCUAGAGAGUUUUAUUCAGUUAUCGACAUCUCCUCCCCAAUCCUUUGAUCUGAUACACCACGUUGUACGCAAUGUUUGCCAACUUAUUUAAUCCAGUUUGAUAGUUCUAUUUCA